UGCGGAAGGAUCAUUAGUGAACGCCCUCACGGGCUUAUAACUAUUCCAAACCUCUGUGAACCGUGCCCUUCGGGGCUAUUUUACAAACAUGGUGUAAUGAACGUCAUAUAUCAUAACAAAACAAAACUUUCAACAACGGAUCUCUUGGCUCUCGCAUCGAUGAAGAACGCAGCGAAAUGCGAUAAGUAAUGUGAAUUGCAGAAUUCAGUGAAUCAUCGAAUCUUUGAACGCACCUUGCGCCCUCUGGUAUUCCGGAGGGCAUGCCUGUUUGAGUGUCAUGUAGACUCAAUCCCUCGGGUUUCCGAGGAGAUUGGACUUGGGUGUUGCCGCUCCGCCCGCUCCCCUUAAAAGAAUUAACCGGAUAACACCCUAAUCGGAGUAAUAAGUUUCGUCGGGGAAAGGUGGGAAGAAUGGUUACAAUCCCCCUCGGGCAAUUUUUUGAUCUUAACUCCAAUCCAGGAAGAAUUCCCGCUGAACUUUAGCCUUUCAAAAAACCGAAGAAAAAAAACUAACCAGGGUUCCCCUAAUAACCGCCAACCAAACGGGAAAAACUUCAAAUUGGAAAGCGGCCUCCUUCCGGCCUUCCCCUUGGAAACUUUUGAAGCCUUUUCCGGGCCGGAACGUGGAAAAAACCCCCAGGA
rnacentral:rRNA from 1 species